UGGGGAAUAUUGGACAAUGGACCAAGAGUCUGAUCCAGCAAUUCUGUGUGCACGAUGAAGUUUUUCGGAAUGUAAAGUGCUUUCAGUUGGGAAGAAAGAAAUGACGGUACCAACAGAAGAAGUGACGGCUAAAUACGUGCCAGCAGCCGCGGUAAUACGUAUGUCACGAGCGUUAUCCGGAUUUAUUGGGCGUAAAGCGCGUCUAGGUGGUUAUGUAAGUCUGAUGUGAAAAUGCAGGGCUCAACUCUGUAUUGCGUUGGAAACUGUAUAACUAGAGUACUGGAGAGGUAAGCGGAAGUACAAGUGUGGAGGUGAGAUUCGUAGAUAGUUGUAGGAAGGCCGAUGGGGAGGCCAGCUGACUGGACAGAUACUGACGCUGAAGCGCGAAAGCGUGGGUAGCAAACAGG
rnacentral:rRNA from 1 species